GGGGGGAGUAUGGUCGCAAGGCUGAAACUUAAAGGAAUUGACGGAAGGGCACCACCAGGCGUGGAGCCUGCGGCUUAAUUUGACUCAACACGGGGAAACUUACCAGGUCCAGACAUAGCAAGGAUUGACCACCUGAGAGCUCUUUCUUGAUUCUUUGGGUGGGGGGGCAUGGCCGGUUUUUGUUGGUGGGGCGGGUUGUCUGGUUAUUUUCUUUAAUGAAAGAGAGAUCACCACUCCCACUCACUACUCAGCCUACUCCAUCCACACCAUCUCUACCUGCAC
rnacentral:ncRNA from 1 species